UGGGGGAUAUUGCACAAUGGGGGGAACCCUGAUGCAGCGACGCCGCGUGGGCGAGGGAGCGCCUCGGCGCGUAAAGCCCUUUCGGCGGGGGAGAACGAUGACGGUACCCGACGAAGAAGCACCGGCUAAAUACGUGCCAGCAGCCGCGGUAAUACGUAUGGUGCGAGCGUUGUCCGGAUUUACUGGGCGUGAAGGGGGCGCAGGCGGCGCGCCAAGCCCGAUGUGAAAGCCCGGGGCCCAACCCCGGGACUGCAUUGGGAACUGGCGGGCUGGAGUGCCGGAGGGGCAGGCGGAAUUCCUGGUGUAGCGGUGAAAUGCGUAGAUAUCAGGAGGAACACCGGUGGCGAAGGCGGCCUGCUGGACGGAUACUGACGCUGAGGCCCGAAAGCGUGGGGAGCGAACAGG
rnacentral:rRNA from 1 species